rnacentral:rRNA from 1 species
UACAGAGGGUGCGAGCGUUAAUCGGAAUUACUGGGCGUAAAGCGUGCGUAGACGGUAGCGUAAGUCAGAUGUGAAAGCCCCGGGCUCAACCUGGGAAUUGCAUUUGAGACUGCUCUGCUCGGGUGCGGAAGAGGGAAGCGGAAUUUCCGGUGUAGCGGUGAAAUGCGUAGAUAUCGGAAGGAACACCCGUGGCGAAGGCGGCUCUCUGGGACGGUACUGACGCUGAGACGCGAAAGCGUGGGGAGCGAACAGG